CCUACGGGUGGCUGCAGUGAGGAAUAUUGGUCAAUGGACGAGAGUCUGAACCAGCCAAGUAGCGUGAAGGAUGACUGCCCUAUGGGUUGUAAACUUCUUUUAUAUGGGAAUAAAAUGUUCCACGUGUGGGAUUUUGUAUGUAACAUAUGAAUAAGGAUCGGCUAACUCCGUGCCAGCAGCCGCGGUAAUACGGAGGAUCCGAGCGUUAUCCGGAUUUAUUGGGUUUAAAGGGAGCGUAGGUGGAUUGUUAAGUCAGUUGUGAAAGUUUGCGGCUUAACCGUAAAAUUGCAGUUGAAACUGGCAGUCUUGAGUACAGUAGAGGUGGGCGGAAUUCGUGGUGUAGCGGUGAAAUGCUUAGAUAUCACGAAGAACUCCGAUUGCGAAGGCAGUUCACUGGACUGCAACUGACACUGAGGCUCGAAAGUGUGGGUAUCAAACAGGAUUAGAUACCCUAGUAGUC
rnacentral:rRNA from 1 species